AGCUCCGUAGUGAAGUUCAUGUUGAGUUGCAAGCUCAUUGAUGUGCACUAAGGGUGCACCGGGGUUU
rnacentral:tRNA from 1 species